ensembl:snoRNA small nucleolar RNA SNORA1
UGCCUCGUUACACACCAAGAAUAGGCACAAUUAACUGUGUCUGAAUUGAGCAACGUGGCUACAGAAGUAACAGGUUGUGCUUCCAUCACUGUAAAAUGAAUUACAGUGGUGACAAUGAGACCUGUAACAAAC